UUUCCAGUCAGCUUACUUUUACG
rnacentral:miRNA from 1 species